rnacentral:lncRNA from 1 species
GGCCCCCGCCGCGCCCGGGCUGGACCGCAGCGCCGCCUCGCAGAACCCGACCUCCACGAAGUCGCGGAUGGCGUUGCACGAGUCGGCCACCGUGUCCGCCACCGCCUUCCCGCCGCCGGCCGACGCGACGGCGAGGAGCGCGAGCAGUAGGGUGGCACGCAGUGAGGAGGACCCCAUCGCCAUUGAUGGCUUCAAAUCAAGCUGCCUGCUCUGCUCAAGCUUCUUUCUUGCUGCAUGUCGUCUUCUACUCGUGUUAAUUUCUCCAUCUUCUUCUCCUUGUUUCUGCAGGUAGAGUUAGGUGAGCUAAUCAAUGGCUGCAUGCGAUGCAUGAUGGGGUCAUCAGUUUUACAUGCAUUCACUUUCGCCGCUUUGGAGGUAGACAUUACAUGGUGCUCACCUGCCAACCCUAUACACUGACCAAUGUCCAAUGACACUGUCCCAUGAAAGAUCGCUAUAGCUUGUAGCACUACGGAUCAUCAGAUUGAGAAGACAUUAUUAUCGAUUAGGUUAGUCUCAAUACAUGUUUUACGUGGUGUCAUGCCACAUUAAAUAGGGUGUUAUAUUAGUAAAAUAUUGACUUAGCAGGGUCAUUGAAUGAGGAAGUUUUAUGAGAUGAGAGAGAAGUUUCAUCCCUAUAAAACUUAUCUGGCUCGGUUAUCUAAUUUAAUAACUAUGUCAUAAAACUAUGUAUUGAGAUCUAUCACAACAGUUGCUGUGAGAAGAUCCUUGCUUGUGAGUAGUAAUAUUUUUUUUUGUGUGUGUGCGCAUUGAAUUGGCAUUGAAUUGGGUCUCAAACUGUCAAUAACUUUAGCCGUGGAGGUGGUUGGUUGGCUGGCUGGCUGGCAAGCUCGAAUCCAUCCAUCAACCAUGGAUGCAUUCAUGGUGUAGUACUCCUUCUGGCUCAAUACUGUCAAAACCACCCUGCGCCAUUGAUUGCUUAGGUGUGUGGCAUUGAAGAAGACACAGUGGUUAAUCUGCCAUUGACAGAGUGCAGCGAGCGAGGUAGCUGAGCUAGAAAGAAAUAUAGCGAGAGACCGUGAGCUCGCCAGCCAUGGUAAGUGCGUUGCGUUCUCACGUCUCGCUCAUAAAAGGUGCGAGCUUUGGCGAGAAAACGGAGGAAGGUGAGAGAGGCAGCAGGGCGGCAGAGGGAGGCUGGAGCGAGCUCGCCGCN